rnacentral:rRNA from 1 species
UCGGGAAUUUUGGGCAAUGGGCGAAAGCCUGACCCAGCAACGCCGCGUGAAGGAUGAAGUAUUUCGGUAUGUAAACUUCGAAAGAAUAGGAAGAAUAAAUGACGGUACUAUUUAUAAGGUCCGGCUAACUACGUGCCAGCAGCCGCGGUAAUACGUAGGGACCAAGCGUUGUUCGGAUUUACUGGGCGUAAAGGGCGCGUAGGCGGCAAUUCAAGUCAUCUGUGAAAUCUCCGGGCUUAACCCGGAACGGUCAGAUGAUACUGCUUUGCUAGAGUGCAGAAGGGGCAAUCGGAAUUCUUGGUGUAGCGGUGAAAUGCGUAGAUAUCAAGAGGAACACCUGAGGUGAAGACGGGUUGCUGGGCUGACACUGACGCUGAGGCGCGAAAGCCAGGGGAGCAAACGGGAUUAGAUACCCGAGUAGUCCCUGAGCGGGCUGGCAAGGCGCAU